rnacentral:rRNA from 1 species
UACGUAGGGUGCGAGCGUUAAUCGGAAUUACUGGGCGUAAAGCGUGCGCAGGCGGUGAUGUAAGACAGAUGUGAAAUCCCCGGGCUCAACCUGGGAAUGGCAUUUGGGACUGCAAGGCUUGAGUGCGGCAGAGGAGACUGGAAUUCCUGGUGUAGCAGUGAAAUGCGUAGAUAUCAGGAGGAAUACCGAUGGCGAAGGCAGGUCUCUGGGCUGACACUGACGCUCAUGCACGAAAGCGUGGGGAGCAAACAGG